rnacentral:sRNA from 1 species
AGGUUUAAAAUGAUUUACAAAGGUUUUAAAAAGGGUUUUUAUAGUAUUUACAUAUAUAAAGACUUUAUAAAGAUUUUAAGAGGUUUUAACUGAUUUACAAGGGUUUUUAACAAAUUUACAAAGCUUUUAAAAAACUGUACAAGGUUUUUUAAAGAGUUUUUAGAGGGUUCUUAAAACUUUUACAAGGAUUUUUAAAUGCAUGUUUUUAGCUGGGACUUUUUUGUCGUGGAGAAAAAAAAUUGGAGGGAAAAAAAAAAUUUGGCGGAAUUUUGUUUUUGUCGGGAAAAAAAAUUUUGGCGGGAAAAUUUCAGUUUAUUAUUACAUAUUCUCGUUAGAUGAGUGUAAUUUGGUCAUUUGCUCAAGAGAAGUGGGAUUUUUAAAAAUGGACAACAUAAAAGGGUAUUGUUGCAAAAGGGUAGUAGAAAAAGGGUAUUUUUGCAAAUCUCUAAAUAUAUUAACCAAGUCAAAUAUCAAGUUAAUGAUUAUUUAAUUUCUUAGAUUAUUUCAACACCUAAACUCAUCUAUAAAUUGAAGUCUAUGGAACAUAAGUUAUUUUAUCUCUUCAAUACAAUCUUAUUCCACAGACAAAAACCCUCUUCCUAUCUCGUUAAUGGCAAUGAAGAGUCUCUCAUUUCUUGCAGCUCUAUCUCUCUUGGCUUUAACACUUCCAUUAACCAUUGCUUCUGAUCCAAGCCAACUUCAAGACUUUUGUGUCAGCGCCAACAGCUCAGCAAAUGGCGGUAUGUACAUGAUGAUUGCAA